rnacentral:rRNA from 1 species
AGUGAACGCUGGCGGUAGGCCUAACACAUGCAAGUCGAACGGCAGCACAGUAAGAGCUUGCUCUUACGGGUGGCGAGUGGCGGACGGGUGAGGAAUACAUCGGAAUCUACUUUUUCGUGGGGGAUAACGUAGGGAAACUUACGCUAAUACCGCAUACGACCUACGGGUGAAAGCAGGGGAUCUUCGGACCUUGCGCGAUUGAAUGAGCCGAUGUCGGAUUAGCUAGUUGGCGGGGUAAAGGCCCACCAAGGCGACGAUCCGUAGCUGGUCUGAGAGGAUGAUUAGCCACACUGGAACUGAGACACGGUCCAGACUCCUACGGGAGGCAGCAGUGGGGAAUAUUGGACAAUGGGCGCAAGCCUGAUCCAGCCAUACCGCGUGGGUGAAGAAGGCCCUCGGGUUGUAAAGCCCUUUUGUUGGGAAAGAAAAGCAGCAGGUUAAUACCCCGCUGUUCUGACGGUACCCAAAGAAUAAGCACCGGCUAACUUCGUG